rnacentral:rRNA from 1 species
GAUGAACGCUGGCGGCGUGCCUAAUACAUGCAAGUCGAGCGAACAGAUGAGGAGCUUGCUCCUCUGACGUUAGCGGCGGACGAGUGAGUAACACGUGGAUAACCUCCCUAUAAGACUGGGAUAACUUCGGGAAACCGGAGCUAAUACCGGAUAAUAUAUUGAACCGCAUGGUUCAAUAGUGAAAGACGGUUUUGCUGUCACUUAUAGAUGGAUCCGCGCCGCAGUAGCUAGUUGGUAAGGUAACGGCUUACAAAGGCAACGAUGCGUAGCCGACCUGAGAGGGUGAUCGGCGACACUGGAACUGAGACACGGUCCAGACUCCUACGGGAGGCAGCAGUAGGGAAUCUUCCGCGAUGGGCGAAAGCCUGACGGAGCAACGCCGCGUGGGUGAUGAAGGUCUUCGGAUCGUAAAACUCUGUUAUUAGGGAAGAACAAAUGUGUAAGUAACUAUGCACGUCUUGACGGUAUCUAAUCAGAAAGCCACGGCUAACUACGUG